UACGAAGGGGACUAGCGUUGUUCGGAAUUACUGGGCGUAAAGCGCACGUAGGCGGAUUUGUUAGUCAGGGGUGAAAUCCCGGGGCUCAACCUCGGAACUGCCUUUGAUACUGCGAAUCUCGAGUCCGAUAGAGGUGGGUGGAAUUCCUAGUGUAGAGGUGAAAUUCGUAGAUAUUAGGAAGAACACCGGUGGCGAAGGCGGCCCACUGGAUCGGUACUGACGGUGAGGUGCGAAAGCGUGGGGAGCAAACAGG
rnacentral:rRNA from 1 species